rnacentral:rRNA from 1 species
AACGAACGCUGGCGGCAUGCCUAACACAUGCAAGUCGAACGAGACCUUCGGGUCUAGUGGCGCACGGGUGCGUAACGCGUGGGAAUCUGCCCUUUGCUACGGAAUAACUCGGGGAAACUCGUGCUAAUACCGUAUGAUGUCGCAAGACCAAAGAUUUAUCGGCAAGGGAUGAGCCCGCGUAGGAUUAGCUUGUUGGUGAGGUAAAGGCUCACCAAGGCGACGAUCCUUAGCUGGUCUGAGAGGAUGAUCAGCCACACUGGGACUGAGACACGGCCCAGACUCCUACGGGAGGCAGCAGUGGGGAAUAUUGGACAAUGGGCGAAAGCCUGAUCCAGCAAUGCCGCGUGAGUGAUGAAGGCCUUAGGGUUGUAAAGCUCUUUUACCCGGGAAGAUAAUGAC